AAAAAAUGGGCAAAUACAAAUGGCCUAAAUUUAAAAUCACAAUUCGCCGUCAUUGGGAUCGGCAACUUGCUGUGAAAUGGAAUUGGGGCAAAAUUACUGGUAGUAGAACUCCAUGCUAUGAUUUAUGCGAUUUGGAAUUGUAACUCUAGUUCGCAAUUGACUGCAGAUCAGCACUAAAUCAUUGUGAGUUUCGUUGCAAAUAUGUACUUUGAUUAAUGUUCCUUGAGGGUUUUAUUAUUUUGUCUUAGGUCAUGAUCUUGAAUGUAGUUUUUAUACCAGUUAUUGUAUGUAUGGCUAUAAUAGUAGCAUCAUGAUAAAUGCUUAUCUUACUUUUUCACAUGUAUAUGUAAUUCAUUUGUACUGAUUCGUUUUUCAACUUCUUAGUCUACUAGCAGAUAUAAUAUUUCAAUUUCGUAAUUUAGACUGAAUUUCUAGGUUUAUUUCAGAAUCCAAUUGAAUACAACCUAAAAGAUCAUUCUACUAUUUUCCUCUAGGCUCCUGGAAUAUCAACCAUUGUCAACAUUUAUCCUAAAUUAAUAACUUUCGUAUAAGCUUUUUCAACUUACACGUAUGUCUAAUUGUCUAUACGCAUCUAAGAGUAAGAAGAUAUCAACUUACGUAUGUCCUCGCAUUGUAUCGCAGCCAGUUUCCCUACGAUAUUCUUUAACAACUUGUUUAAGCUCUGUACAGUAACUCGGUGCUUAUAAAUUGCAUUAUUUCAUUUUAGUGAAGUGACAGUAAAGUUUAGAAUUGCAUUCUUUAUCCAGCAACUCAUGUGGAUAAGUUGUCUUUGACUCUCAAUCUCAUAUUAGUUCCCUGAAUUAAAAGACUUGGGAGUAGAGAAUGCUCAAAAGCAAAAUGUUGUAGAGCAGUGUUACUAAGUUGUUAUUUUUUUAGUUUUAAAUUCAAAAGAUUUUGGAGUCUUUCAAAGCCUCUUCUUAAUCUGAAUUGAUAGUAUAUCACAUGCUUACUAAACUAUAUAGAACAUGCAUUGAUGCUUUAAUGAUCGUUAAAUAAGAGUUAUUGUUAUAUAAUGUGAUAAUAUUAGAUUGAUUUUAUUAUUUCAUGAGUUGUUGUAUGCCAAUUGUGACCCGACACAAGAUUUGUAGCCAUUGUUAGUCACUUGCACAUAAGAUAUAAGUCUUAUUGUAUUGAAUUUCUGGAACUUGUUAUAUUCUUAAUUUCAUAAUUUACCCAAAUAACAAAUGCUUUUAGAUUACCUAUAGACUAAAUUUAUUGUUCGAUACUUCUUUGUGUAAAAUUGAUAUCCUUAAUUUGUUAUGAAUAACUUGACAAGCUUGGCUCUAAAUUCUGAUCUUUGCACCAUGAGUGUGUUGAUUAAUCAGGAGCUUAUAUUAAGCACAUCUAAUUUUCCUUGUGCAUGAUGUCUUGUUAGUUAUGCAAUCGAGGAACAUAUGAUAUUUUUAGUUUUUGGCCAUUGAUUUUCUAGUCAAAUGUUUGAAAUAAGAAAACUUGUAAGAUAUUUACAUUUCCCAAAAAAAGAAGUAUUUAUUAUUUUAAAACCUUAUUGUUACUUUUAGUAAGUAUUUGAUUUUGAUACAGCAGUAGCCGCCACCGUCACCGUCACCGCCACCGCCACUGCCACAGUCACAGCCAGAGCCAGGGAAAGAAAGAGUAGUAAUGUUGAAAACAGCCAGUUCUGGAGCAACUUUAGUGUGUAGCCCAGAAUAGUUUGGAGAUUCUUAGUGCGCUGAAAGUGACUUGUUACUUUUUUAAAUGACAGUAUUAUGGCAACUAUGUAAAGAAGAGUAAAGAUAUAUAUUUCAUUAUUUGCAAUUCAUGUUUUAAAUUCCAAGAGAAAAUUGAGUUUUUUAUACCUAGUAAAUAUGAAUGUUGUGUUCAGCAGUUAGUAAAUAGUAAAUAUGAUUGUUGUUGUGUUCAACACUAAUAAAUAUGAAUGUCGGUAUUAUGACAACUAUGAAUGUUAUCUUUUAUUAUUUGCA
rnacentral:lncRNA from 1 species